rnacentral:rRNA from 1 species
AGAUUGAACGCUGGCGGAAUGCUUUACACAUGCAAGUCGAGCGGCAGCGCGGGGCAACCUGGCGGCGAGCGGCGAACGGGUGAGUAAUGCAUCGGAACAUGUCCAUUCGUGGGGGAUAGCCCGGCGAAAGCCGGAUUAAUACCGCAUACGCCCUUAGGGGGAAAGCCGGGGACCGCAAGGCCUGGCGCGAAUGGGUUGGCCGAUGCCCGAUUAGCUAGUUGGCGGGUAAUCGGCCCACAAGGCGAUGAUCGGUAGCUGGUCUGAGAGGAUGAUCAGCCACACUGGGACUGAGACGACGGCCCAGACUCCGUACGGGAGGCAGCAGGUGGGUAAUUUGGACGAAGUGGGGGACAACCCGUGAUCCAGUCACUUCCGCGUGAGUGAA